rnacentral:rRNA from 1 species
ACGGGGGGAGCAAGCGUUGUUCGGAAUCACUGGGCGUAAAGCGCGUGUAGGCGGUCAGGUAAGUGGGAUGUGAAAUACUCCGGCUCACCCGGAGAACUGCAUCCCAAACUGCCUGGCUUGAGUAUGGGAGAGGAUGAGGGAAUUCCUGGUGUAGCGGUGAAAUGCGUAGAUAUCAGGAGGAACACCAAUAGCGAAGGCAGCUCGCUGGGACGGUACUGACGCUAAGGCGCGAAAGCGUGGGGAGCGAACAGGA